CUCGUUAUUUUGUGUUGUUACCUGCCUACAGCAAUGGUUGCACAGUCACAGGUCGUCUAUUCUCUUGGCGACUGCGUUCUUUAAUUUAUAAAUUCCUUGUCGCAGGAGUCUUUGCAUUCGAAUAUUUUUGUUCACAGUUCAAUUACUGUGCUAAAUUGUCGAACACUGGAUUGGAAUGCUUUUUGAUGGUAUUUAUUGUUAUUACUGUCUAUUUUUGCCAAAGCAUCACUGCAAGAGAGAGAUUUGGCGAACUUGUUGUAUUGUGUCUUCUUCGAAGUUCCCAGCCCCAAUUGCUUUUUCGAGGUCUUGCGCUGGCCAGUUUUAUACCUGCUACAGAAGGAAUUGGUUAUUUAAUUACCAACUGUAUGAUUGGUGGUUUUAUUCAUGCAAUAGAGAAUUAUAUACCUUGCCACUAUUGCACAGUUGCAUGAUUCUUGCAUUCUAAAAAAAUCGAAUUUGUUUUCACCAAAUCUGUUCUUUAACAUCGGCUUGAGCACCAUUCCUUGAUUCGUCUCCAGUAGCAUUUACUCGGUAGUUCUCGUGACCCAUUUGACUAGCGUUUCCAUAUAUUUUGGAUUUCCAUCUCACUUUAGGGCAAACACGCAUCCAAAUUCCUCGAUAAUGGUGCUGCUGCAUGUGAAGCAGAAGGACGACAUGCAGUUUUUAUUUGAAGCUUCUGCAAAAGCAUCCGUGGACAGUGUCGUAAGAGAGCUUGUGGUCGUUUAACAAUCUGCAGGUGCGAAUCCUAGGCUUCCAAGGUGAAGUCAAGAGGCUUGCUCUCUAUGGGCCCGCCAAACAUCCCGAUGAUGAUGAGGCCAGCGAUGAUGAGACACAGAAGGGGAAGAAAAUUCGAGGUCCUCACUACAGCGAAGAUCCUCACUGUCGCCGAACAGGAGAUGAGACCCUGUUUCUCAAAUUCUAAAGUCGGUCGGCACUUUGCAGUCGUGAUUGCUCCUUUUCACGAAGUACUCUUCUGAGAAGUUCCAUCUUUCUAGCGAUGCCUGUUACUCCGCUGUUCCAUCGAACUUGAAAUGAUGGACGUGUAUUUUCUGCGUUGUGAAUGGUCAUCCUCAACCUGCUUGAUUAUUCCUCGCUCAACCUUAACUAAGUAAUGUGAAAUGAAGUGUAUACUUGAAUUUUUAUGGAUUUGUAACAGCCUGCGAUCCUGAAGUGUCCAAGCAAAUUACUAACACGAUGGCGGACGCCGUCGCUCUUGUUUCCAAGGUACUCCUCGUUGUCUCAUUUCCGAUCUCGUUUGGAAGAGCAGCCUUUAAAUCAUUUCACGAAUAAUCACACUGUUCUCAGCUAUUUGUAAAAGAUGGCAGGAAAAAGUAAUGGCCAAGACGUAUGUUACCUCACAAAUGUUAAAAGACCAACUCAAUCUCAUCCGUGGUGCUAUCACGAUUUGUUUUCCUCUAGGAUUACCCAAGUGGGAUGUUGUCCAGCAAGCGAUUUCUGGAACAUCCUCGUGUACAUUUUUCUAAUCUUUUCCUUCCUCUUCGUAUUCAUGAAAUCAGCAUUGUGCAUGAAAUUGGACAUUCUGUUGAGAGCUUGAACGCACCCUAAUUUGCGUCCAUGUGUUGAUAUUGAGUUGGAGUCUCAAGCAUUUGUGGUUUCCCAAAACUUCGUGUUCCCAAUUUUCUUCUUCCGUGUGGAUAAUUAUCAGUGAAGGAAAGUCUGGAUCCAGAUACUACAGGUUUAUGGUGGGCAGGCAAAUAACUAUUGUGAGACAAGUGUUUAAAAGAUUACGUUGGCCAGAAUGAAAAGACGAAGGUUUCCCCAAUCACCUGUUGCUGAGACACACCACUGUAAAGUAACGCUUAAAAUGCUCUUUGAACCGUUUUGCAAAGCAUAUUCCGAGAGGCUGGGCACAAAUUACGUUGUUUUUCGUAGUGUGCAACACAAGAUAACCAUUAAGGUCGUAUGCUCAUCUUCAUUAUCUGAGAAGGCUACCAGGAUUUGUUGUAUUAUUGCGAAAUCUGUAUGAAGUUCUCAUCAAUAGGACUGGUGAAUGUGGAACAGAUAAUUGUGAAGUUGCUCAGAACGGGAACCAGUAAGCGUCUCUCGAGGUCAGAUUUGUCUCUUGUUACUGAAGAUGGAAUUUGUGGUUUGUGAAGCGCUUCUGGCACGUAGUUCUAGCUGCACCAUUGCAGCCAAUUGACGCAGAUACGCACAAGGCAAUGAUGGCCCAUUAUUUCAAGCAGCAAGAACAGCUGAAGCGAAUGGCUGAUGACGGGAUGAAGCGUACAUGAACGCGCAGUGGGCUAAUCUUAAAGCUCUCGUCGCAGUUACACGGCAUGGCCUCGAAUAUGCAGUUCAAAUAAAGUCUCCAAUUGCAGAAGUGAGGCAUCUGCCAGUCGUGUAAGCAACUGGAUGCAGUGUAGAACAAUGUUGGCUGCUUCUGGAGCUUCCUUUGAGAUCAUUACAACCGACAAGAGCACGUUGCAUGACAGAAAACAUCACGCAGGAAACAUAGAUUUGAGGCAUUCAUACUACUCCGAGGAAGUAACGUGUGCUGGUAGUGACCGCAUUUAUCUACCACUCUACCAUUCUGCUAGUUUGCUAAGAGAAAUAUGAGUAGCCGUUUGCCCUGCUGAA